GACGAACGCUGGCGGCGUGCCUAAUACAUGCAAGUCGAGCGAGACUCUUCGGAGUCUAGCGGCGGACGGGUGAGUAACACGUGGGCAACCUGCCUGUAAGACUGGGAUAACACCGGGAAACCGGUGCUAAUACCGGAUAAUCCUUUUCCUCUCAUGGGGAAAAGCUGAAAGUCGGUUUCGGCUGACACUUACAGAUGGGCCCGCGGCGCAUUAGCUAGUUGGUGAGGGAACGGCUCACCAAGGCGACGAUGCGUAGCCGACCUGAGAGGGUGGUCGGCCACACUGGGACUGAGACACGGCCAAGACUCCUACGGGAGGCAGCAGUAGGGAUUCUUCCACAAUGGACGAAAGUCUGAUGGAGCAACGCCGCGUGAGCGAUGAAGGCCUUCGGGUCGUAAAGCUCUGUUGUUAGGGAAGAACAAGUACCGGAGUAACUGCCGGUACCUUGACGGUACCUAACCAGAAAGCCACGGCUAACCACGUGCCAGCCGCCGCAGUAACAC
rnacentral:rRNA from 1 species